GACGAACGCUGGCGGCGUGCCUAAUACAUGCAAGUCGAGCGCAGGAAACUGACGGAACUCUUCGGAGGGAAGGCAGUGGAAUGAGCGGCGGACGGGUGAGUAACACGUAAGGAACCUGCCUCAAGGAUUGGGAUAACUCCGAGAAAUCGGAGCUAAUACCGGAUAGUUCAACGGACCGCAUGGUCCGCUGAUGAAAGGCGCUCCGGCGUCACCUUGAGAUGGCCUUGCGGUGCAUUAGCUAGUUGGUGGGGUAAUGGCCCACCAAGGCGACGAGGCAUAGCCGACCUGAGAGGGUGAUCGGCCACACUGGGACUGAGACACGGCCCAGACUCCUACGGGAGGCAGCAGUAGGGAAUCUUCCACAAUGGACGAAAGUCUGAUGGAGCAACGCCGCGUGAGUGAUGAAGGUUUUCGGAUCGUAAAACUCUGUUGUAAGGGAAGAACACGUACGAGAGGGAAUGCUCGUACCUUGACGGUACCUUACGAGAAAGCCACGGCUAACUACGUGCCAGCAGCCGCCGUAAAAC
rnacentral:rRNA from 1 species